rnacentral:rRNA from 1 species
GACGAACGCUGGCGGCGUGCUUAACACAUGCAAGUCGAACGGAGAGGCCCUGCUUUUCUGUGGUGCUCGAGUGGCGAACGGGUGAGUAACACGUGAGUAACCUGCCCUUGACUUUGGGAUAACUUCAGGAAACUGUGGCUAAUACCGGAUAGGAGCUCCUGCUGCAUGGUGGUGGCUUGAAAGUUUCGGCGGUUUGGGAUGGACUCGCGGCUUAGCAGCUUGUUGGUGGGGUAGUGGCUUACCAAGGCUUUGACGGGUAGCCGGCCUGAGAGGGUGACAGGCCACAUUGGGAAUGGGAUACCGCCAAGACUGCUACGGCAGGCAUGAGUGGGGGAUAUUGCACGAUGGGCGGAAGGCUGGUACAGGAACGCCGGGUGGGGAAUGACGGCUGUGGGGUAGGAAAGCGCGUGCGCCUGUGAAGAAGAGUCAGUGACGGUAAUGUAUAAAGAAGGAACGGCUAACUACGUG